rnacentral:rRNA from 1 species
CUUCCUACGGGGGGCAGCAGUGGGGGAUAUUGCACAAUGGGGGGAACCCUGAUGCAGCGACGCCGCGUGGGUGAAGGAGCGUUUCGGCGCGUAAAGCCCUAUCGGCAGGGAAGAAGGAGGACGGUACCUGACUAAGAAGCCCCGGCUAACUACGUGCCAGCAGCCGCGGUAAUACGUAGGGGGCAAGCGUUAUCCGGAUUUACUGGGUGUAAAGGGGGCGCAGACGGCAGCGCAAGCCAGGAGUGAAAGCCCGGGGCCCAACCCCGGGACUGCUCUGGAAACUAUUGAACUUGAGUGCAGGAGAG